UACGAGAGGUCCAAACGUUAUUCGGAAUCACUGGGCUUACAGAGUUCGUAGGCGGUCCAGAAAGUGGGGUGUGAAAGCCCUCGGCUCAACCGAGGAACUGCGCUCCAAACUACUGGGCUAGAGGAAGAUAGAGGUGAGCAGAACUGAUGGUGGAGCGGUGAAAUGCGUUGAUAUCUGGAGGAACACCGGUGGCGAAGGCGGCAUCCUGGACCGACACUGACGCUGAGGAGCGAAAGCCAGGGGAGCAAACGGG
rnacentral:rRNA from 1 species